rnacentral:rRNA from 1 species
CAGUCGCCGCGGUAAUACGGAGGGUGCAAGCGUUAAUCGGAAUUACUGGGCGUAAAGCGCGCGUAGGUGGUUCGCCAAGUUGGAUGUGAAAUCCCCGGGCUCAACCUGGGAACUGCAUCCAAAACUGGCGAGCUAGAGUAUGGUAGAGGGUGGUGGAAUUUCCUGUGUAGCGGUGAAAUGCGUAGAUAUAGGAAGGAACAUCAGUGGCGAAGGCGACCACCUGGACUGAUACUGACACUGAGGUGCGAAAGCGUGGGGAGCAAACAGGAUUAGAUACCCCAGUAGUCCCUGUCUCUUAUAC